GAAAUGCGAUAAGUAAUGUGAAUUGCAGAAUUCAGUGAAUCAUCGAAUCUUUGAACGCACAUUGCGCCCGCCAGUAUUCUGGCGGGCAUGCCUGUUCGAGCGUCAUUACAACCCUCAGGCCCCCGGGCCUGGCGUUGGGGAUCGGCGGAAGCCCCCUGCGGGCACAACGCCGUCCCCCAAAUACAGUGGCGGUCCCGCCGCAGCUUCCAUUGCGUAGUAGCUAACACCUCGCAACUGGAGAGCGGCGCGGCCACGCCGUAAAACACCUAACUUCUGAAUGUUGACCUCGAAUCAGGUAGGAAUACCCGCUGAACUUAAGC
rnacentral:misc_RNA from 1 species